rnacentral:rRNA from 1 species
AAUCAACGCUGGCGGCGUGCCUAACACAUGCAAGUCGAACGCGAAAGUGGAGCAAUCCAUGAGUAGAGUGGCAAACGGGUGAGUAACGCGUGGGCGACCUACCUUCGAGUGGGGGAUAACCUUCCGAAAGGAGGGCUAAUACCGCAUGACAUCCCGUGUUUGGAUACACGGAGAUCAAAGCCGGGGAUCGUAAGACCUGGCGCUUGAAGAGGGGCCUGCGUCCGAUUAGCUAGNGGUGAGGUCACGGCUCACCAAGGCUCCGAUCGGUAUCCGGCCUGAGAGGGCGGACGGACACACUGGAACUGAGACACGGUCCAGACUCCUACGGGAGGCAGCAGUGGGGAAUUGUUCGCAAUGGGCGAAAGCCUGACGACGCAACGCCGCGUGGAGGAUGAAGACCU